UCAGGAUGAACGCUGGCGGCGUGCUUAACACAUGCAAGUCGAACGAUGAAGCUGGAGCUUGCUCUGGUGGAUUAGUGGCGAACGGGUGAGUAACACGUGAGUAACCUGCCCUUGACUCUGGAAUAAGCGUUGGAAACGACGUCUAAUACCGGAUACGAGCUUCCGCCGCAUGGUGAGGAGCUGGAAAGAAUUUCGGUCAAGGAUGGACUCGCGGCCUAUCAGGUAGUUGGUGAGGUAAUGGCUCACCAAGCCUACGACGGGUAGCCGGCCUGAGAGGGUGACCGGCCACACUGGAACUGAGACACGGUCCAGACUCCUACGGGAGGCAGCAGUGGGGAAUAUUGCACAAUGGGCGCAAGCCUGAUGCAGCAACGCCGCGUGAGGGACGACGGCCUUCGGGUUGUAAACCUCUUUUAGUAGGGAAGAAGCGAAAGUGACGGUACCUGCAGAAAAAGCACCGGCUAACUACGUGCCAGCAGCCGCGGUAAUACGUAGGGUGCAAGCGUUAUCCGGAAUUAUUGGGCGUAAAGAGCUCGUAGGCGGUUUGUCGCGUCUGCUGUGAAAACUGGGGGCUCAACCCCCAGCCUGCAGUGGGUACGGGCAGACUAGAGUGCGGUAGGGGAGAUUGGAAUUCCUGGUGUAGCGGUGGAAUGCGCAGAUAUCAGGAGGAACACCGAUGGCGAAGGCAGAUCUCUGGGCCGUAACUGACGCUGAGGAGCGAAAGCAUGGGGAGCGAACAGGAUUAGAUACCCUGGUAGUCCAUGCCGUAAACGUUGGGAACUAGAUGUAGGGACCAUUCCACGGUUUCUGUGUCGCAGCUAACGCAUUAAGU
rnacentral:rRNA from 1 species